GACGGGGGGGGCAAGUGUUCUUCGGAAUGACUGGGCGUAAAGGGCACGUAGGCGGUGAAUCGGGUUGAAAGUGAAAGUCGCCAAAAACUGGCGGAAUGCUCUCGAAACCAAUUCACUUGAGUGAGACAGAGGAGAGUGGAAUUUCGUGUGUAGGGGUGAAAUCCGGAGAUCUACGAAGGAACGCCAAAAGCGAAGGCGACUCUCUGGUCUGUAACUGACGCUGAGGCGCGAAAGCGUGGGGAGCAAACAGG
rnacentral:rRNA from 1 species